UGGGGGAGUUGGGAUGCUGACCAGAAGCUUCGGGGGCCCUGAGUUCUCAGUCCAGAUUUUCUCAGCCCACCUGUGGCCCUUCAGACAGGACUUCCUAGGCCAAAAAUUUGUUGAUCUAUUUGAUCUAAUGAUCUAUUUGUUUCCAAAACACAUGACCAUGUGAGGUAUUAUGGAGACCUGGGACAAAUAAAGAGUAUUUAUGGCCUCAUCAGCACACAGGAGGAGUGAGCAUGCUGGCCAGGCACCAGCGCUAGCCCGUCAGGGUCCUGGAGACAUCCACCCUUGCUUUUCACUAUGUGCACUGUUCCUGGUUAAUUUCCUAUUAGUUCACCUUGGAAUAUCAUGUGAUUCUUUCCCUCGUGGGCUGCCCCUGCCUUCCGCAUGUGUCAUCAGCACCGUGGAGAGCUGGACUAGAGAAGAGUCAUCCUUGAUGUAUAAGAAGUCCUAGCUAAGAAAGCCUAUGAGGGGGCAGGAGAGGAAAGACAGACAGACAGACAGGGUCUGCUGCCAUUCAGGCUAAAUGGCAAGGCCGGAGGCACGAACUCACUCACGAGACAGCAAAGGAUCUGAGACAAGCUUUCCAGAGGACACCGCCAGCCACUCCCCAGAAGACAAGGGCUGCUUCUUGGCUCAUCAAGAGGAAUGCAGUGGACAGAGUGGACUUUUGACACAGCGGAAAAGAUCCGUCAGAGGCUGUAGACCAAGUCCUAGCUCCAGAAUGGAGCUACAGCUGUGAUCUUAGGCGAGCCACUAUUUCCCCCCUAAAGCGAGCUAAUAAUAAAGCAGUGUUUUGUGUCUUUU